GACGAACGCUGGCGGCGUGCUUAACACAUGCAAGUCGAACGGAAAGGCCCUGCUUUUGUGGGGCGCUCGAGUGGCGAACGGGUGAGUAACACGUGAGUAACCUGCCCUUGACUUUGGGAUAACUUCAGGAAACUGGGGCUAAUACCGGAUAGGAGCUCCUGCUGCAUGGUGGGGGUUGAAAAGUUUCGGCGGUUGGGGAUGGACUCGCGGCUUAUCAGCUUGUUGGUGGGGUAGUGGCUUACCAAGGCUUUGACGGGUAGCCGGCCUGAGAGGGUGACCGGCCACAUUGGGACUGAGAUACGGCCCAGACUCCUACGGGAGGCAGCAGUGGGGAAUAUUGCACAAUGGGCGGAAGCCUGAUGCAGCAACGCCGCGUGCGGGAUGACGGCCUUCGGGUUGUAAACCGCUUUCGCCUGUGACGAAGCGUGAGUGACGGUAAUGGGUAAAGAAGCACCGGCUAACUACGUGCCAGCAGCCGCGGUGAUACGUAGGGUGCGAGCGUUGUCCGGAUUUAUUGGGCGUAAAGGGCUCGUAGGUGGUUGAUCGCGUCGGAAGUGUAAUCUUGGGGCUUAACCCUGAGCGUGCUUUCGAUACGGGUUGACUUGAGGAAGGUAGGGGAGAAUGGAAUUCCUGGUGGAGCGGUGGAAUGCGCAGAUAUCAGGAGGAACACCAGUGGCGAAGGCGGUUCUCUGGGCCUUUCCUGACGCUGAGGAGCGAAAGCGUGGGGAGCGAACGGGCUUAGAUACCCUGGUAGUCCACGCUGUAAACGGUGGGUACUAGGUGUGGGGUCCAUUCCACGGGUUCCGUGCCGUAGCUAACGCUUUAAGUACCCCGCCUGGGGAGUACGGCCGCAAGGCUAAAACUCAAAGGAAUUGACGGGGCCCCGCACAAGCGGCGGAGCAUGCGGAUUAAUUCGAUGCAACGCGUAGAACCUUACCUGGGUUUGACAUGGAUCGGGAGUGCUCAGAGAUGGGUGUGCCUCUUUUGGGGUCGGUUCACAGGUGGUGCAUGGCUGUCGUCAGCUCGUGUCGUGAGAUGUUGGGUUAAGUCCCGCAACGAGCGCAACCCUUGUUCACUGUUGCCAGCACGUUAUGGUGGGGACUCAGUGGAGACCGCCGGGGUCAACUCGGAGGAAGGUGGGGAUGACGUCAAGUCAUCAUGCCCCUUAUGUCCAGGGCUUCACGCAUGCUACAAUGGCUGGUACAGAGAGUGGCGAGCCUGUGAGGGUGAGCGAAUCUCGGAAAGCCGGUCUCAGUUCGGAUUGGGGUCUGCAACUCGACCUCAUGAAGUCGGAGUCGCUAGUAAUCGCAGAUCAGCAACGCUGCGGUGAAUACGUUCCCGGGGCU
rnacentral:rRNA from 1 species